CACGUAGGGUGCGAGCGUUGUCCGGAAUUAUUGGGCGUAAAGAGCUCGUAGGCGGUGUGUCGCGUCGGCCGUGAAAACCUGCAGCUUAACUGUGGGCUUGCGGUCGAUACGGGCAUCACUGGAGUUCGGCAGGGGAGACUGGAAUUCCUGGUGUAGCGGUGAAAUGCGUAGAUAUCUGGAGGAACACCGGUGGCGAAGGCGGCAUCCUGGACCGACACUGACGCUGAGGAGCGAAAGCCAGGGGAGCAAACGGG
rnacentral:rRNA from 1 species